CCAGCAGUUGCGGUUAUACAAAUAAUAUAAUUUAAUUAUAAUAGAAAUAAUUAAUUUUGUAAUAAAUAAUUUAAAUUAAAAAUUUAUAAGGUGAAAUUUUAUAUUUUUUUAAAAAAUUAAUUUUUAAUGAUGAGGUUAAAAAAUUUAAGUAAUAGACUAGGAUUAGAUACCCUAUUAUUUUAAAAGUAAUGUUUAGCACUAAAUUAAUAGUAGUUAAGUUCUUUAAAAUUAAAAAUUUUGGCGGUAUUUUAGUCUAUUCAGAGGAACCUGUUCUGUAAUUGAUAGUCCACGAUUUAAUUUACUUUUUUUUAAAAUUUGUAUAUCAUCGUAGUUUGAAUAUUUUAUAAGAAAAAUAAUAUUCAAAGUUUUAUAUAAAAAAAUAAAUCAGAUCAAGGUGCAGUUGAUGGAAAAGUAGAAAUGGGUUACAUUAAUUUUAUUUUGGAAAUAUUAUUUUUAAAAUAAUAGGAAUUUGGAUUUUGAAAGUAAAUUUAAUAAAUUAAUUAAAUUGAUUUAAGCUCUAAAAUAUGCACACAUCGCCCG
rnacentral:rRNA from 1 species